UGAAUACUUCAGAAGGGAGUGGUUUGAUGUGAAGGGUUUUUUUUUUUUUUUUUUCCCCUUCAGGCAUUGAAAAGGAAAAGAUGAAAUAUAUGUUUAUAUAUAACUGUGUUUCUCCAUACCUCACUGAAGUCAAAACGCAUUUAAUUGUUGUACCUCCCUUCCUCCGUGAUCUCCGACACUGGUAAAGUGGAAGGAACUCGGGUACCCUGCCACAGAAAAGUACUGGGACUGAGCAAGAGAAAGAGGUCUCCGUGGCCACUUUUCCAAAGCUUCCUCACAUUUGCCACACCUCCUCCACCUUCCACUCCGGCAGGAGACCUUAUCAGCUCUCUCCAGGAGACAGAACAUCAGAGAGAGCUCCCCGGAGACAUGGGCACGAAGCCUGUGUAUUUCGCCGCAUCCUCUUUGUCCUACUGGACCACUCUCGCUUUCCAGGUCCUCUGAAGCCACUGCCACCAGACUAUCCACCGCCUCCUGGUUGCCGACAGAGAGGCUGUUUCUGAGUUCUUAACUUGCUACGCCCUUCUGGAAAUGGUCUUUGCUUGCCUUCUGUGAUCUCACAUCUGCCUCUACUUCGAUUGCUGGCUUUUUUAAAAACAAUUUUUCUUUAAUGUUUAUUUUUGAGAGAGAGAGAGAGUGUGUGAGUAGGGGAGCAUCAG